rnacentral:rRNA from 1 species
AGAACGAACGCUGGCGGCAGGCCUAACACAUGCAAGUCGAACGCCCGUAGCAAUACGGGAGUGGCAGACGGGUGAGUAACGCGUGGGAACGUACCUUUCGGUUCGGAAUAACCCGGGGAAACUCGGGCUAAUACCGGAUACGUCCGCAAGGAGAAAGAUUUAUCGCCGAAAGAUCGGCCCGCGUCGGAUUAGCUAGUUGGUGAGGUAACGGCCACCAAGGCGACGAUCCGUAGCUGGUCUGAGAGGAUGAUCAGCCACACUGGGACUGAGACACGGCCCAGACUCCUACGGGAGGCAGCAGUGGGGAAUAUUGGACAAUGGGCGAAAGCCUGAUCCAGCCAUGCCGCGUGAGUGAAGAAGGCCUUAGGGUUGUAAAGCUCUUUCAGCGGGGAAGAUAAUGACGGUACCCGCAGAAGAAGUCCCGGCUAACUCGUGCCAGCAGCCGC